UGGGGAAUAUUGCACAAUGGGCGCAAGCCUGAUGCAGCCAUGCCGCGUGUAUGAAGAAGACCUUCGGGUUGUAAAGUACUUUCAGCGGGGAGGAAGGGAGUAAAGUUAAUACCUUUGCUCAUUGACGUUACCCGCAGAAGAAGCACCGGCUAACUCCGUGCCAGCAGCCGCGGUAAUACGGAGGGUGCAAGCGUUAAUCGGAAUUACUGGGCGUAAAGCGCACGCAGGCGGUUUGUUAAGUCAGAUGUGAAAUCCCCGGGCUCAACCUGGGAACUGCAUCUGAUACUGGCAAGCUUGAGUCUCGUAGAGGGGGGUAGAAUUCCAGGUGUAGCGGUGAAAUGCGUAGAGAUCUGGAGGAAUACCGGUGGCGAAGGCGGCCCCCUGGACGAAGACUGACGCUCAGGUGCGAAAGCGUGGGGAGCAAACAGG
rnacentral:rRNA from 1 species